rnacentral:rRNA from 1 species
UAAUACGAGGGGGGCGAGCGUUGUUCGGAAUUAUUGGGCGUAAAGGGUGCGUAGGCGGUUUGGUAAGUCUGAUGUGAAAUCUAUGGGCUCAACUCAUAGUCUGCAUCGGAAACUGCCGGGCUUGAGUGUGGGAGAGGUGAGUGGAAUUCCUGGUGUAGCGGUGAAAUGCGUAGAUAUCAGGAGGAACACCUGUGGCGAAAGCGGCUCACUGGACCAUAACUGACGCUGAUGCACGAAAGCUAGGGGAGCAAACAGGAUUAGAUACCCUGGUAGUCCUAGCCCUAAACGAUGACUGCUUGGUGUGACGGGUACCCAAUCCCGCCGUGCCGUAGCUAACGCGUUAAGCAGUCCGCCUGGGGAGUACGGUCGCAAGGCUG